UCCAGACUCCUACGGGAGGCAGCAGUGGGGAAUAUUGCACAAUGGGGGGAACCCUGAUGCAGCGACGCCGCGUGGGUGAAGGAGCGUUUCGGCGCGUAAAGCCCUCUCGGCAGGGAAGAAGGAGGACGGUACCUGACUAAGAAGCCCCGGCUAACUACGUGCCAGCAGCCGCGGUAAUACGUAGGGGGCAAGCGUUAUCCGGAUUUACUGGGUGUAAAGGGGGCGCAGACGGCAGCGCAAGCCAGGAGUGAAAGCCCGGGGCCCAACCCCGGGACUGCUCUUGGAACUGCGCGGCUGGAGUGCAGGAGGGGCAGGCGGAAUUCCUGGUGUAGCGGUGAAAUGCGUAGAUAUCAGGAGGAACACCGGUGGCGAAGGCGGCCUGCUGGACUGCGACUGACGUUGAGGCCCGAAAGCGUGGGGAGCAAACAGGAUUAGAUACCCCAGUA
rnacentral:rRNA from 1 species